rnacentral:rRNA from 1 species
GACGAACGCUGGCGGCGUGCUUAACACAUGCAAGUCGAACGGAAAGGCCCUGCUUUUGUGGGGUGCUCGAGUGGCGAACGGUUGAGUAACACGUGAGUAACCUGCCCUUGACUUUGGGAUAACUUCAGGAAACUGGGGCUAAUACCGGAUAGGAGCUCCUGCUGCAUGGUGGGGGUUGGAAAGUUUCGGCGGUUGGGGAUGGACUCGCGGCUUAUCAGCUUGUUGGUGGGGUAGUGGCUUACCAAGGCUUUGACGGGUAGCCGGACUGAGAGGGUGACCGGCCACAUUGGGACUGAGAUACAGCCCAGACUCCUACGGGAGGGAGCAGUGGGAGAUAGUGCACAAUGGGAGGAAGACUGAUGCAGAAACGCCGCGUGCGGGAUAACGGCCUGCGGGUUGUAAACCGCUUUCGCCUGUGACGAAGCGUGAGUGACGGUAAUAGGUAAAGAAGCACCGGCUAACUACGUG